rnacentral:rRNA from 1 species
UAACUGCGAGUGAAGCGGGAAAAGCUCAAAUUUAAAAUCUGGCGGUCUUUGGCCGUCCGAGUUGUAGUCUGGAGAAGUGCUUUCCGCGCUGGACCGUGUAUAAGUCUCUUGGAACAGAGCGUCAUAGAGGGUGAGAAUCCCGUCUUUGACACGGACUACCAGUGCUUUGUGAUGCGCUCUCAAAGAGUCGAGUUGUUUGGGAAUGCAGCUCAAAAUGGGUGGUGAAUUCCAUCUAAAGCUAAAUAUUGGCGAGAGACCGAUAGCGAACAAGUACCGUGAGGGAAAGAUGAAAAGCACUUUGGAAAGAGAGUUAAACAGUACGUGAAAUUGCUGAAAGGGAAACGCUUGAAGUCAGUCGCGUUGUCCGGAACUCAGCCUUGCUUUUGCUUGGUGCACUUUCCGGAUGACGGGUCAGCAUCGAUUUUGACCGUCGGAAAAGGGCUGGAGUAAUGUGGCACCUCCGGGUGUGUUAUAGACUCUGGUCGCAUACGGCGGUUGGGAUCGAGGAACGCAGCGCGCCGCAAGGCAGGGGUUCGCCCACUUUCGCGCUUAGGAUGCUGGCAUAAU